AGUGGAAUUGCUAGGUCAUGUGGUAAUGAUUAACCUUUUAAGGAACUGUCAGACUGUUUUCCGAAGUGGCUGCACCACUUUAUAUUCCCACCAGCAAU
rnacentral:pre_miRNA from 1 species